UACGAAUACGAACCGUGAAA
rnacentral:snRNA from 1 species